rnacentral:rRNA from 1 species
UAGGGAAUAUUCCGCAAUGGACGAAAGUCUGACGGAGCAAUGCCGCGUGAGUGAUGAAGGCCUUCGGGUUGUAAAGCUCUGUUGUCAGGGAAGAACAUGUCUCGGCGUAACUGCCGGUACCUUGACGGUACCUAACCAGAAAGCCACGGCUUACUACAUGCCAGCAGCCGCGAUAAUAA